UACGGGGGGGGCAAGCGUUGUUCGGAAUUACUGGGCGUAAAGGGCGCGUAGGCGGCCUGUUAAGUCGGGGGUGAAAUCCUGAGGCUCAACCUCAGAACUGCCUUCGAUACUGGCAAUCUCGAGUCCGGAAGAGGUUGGUGGAACAGCUAGUGUAGAGGUGAAAUUCGUAGAUAUUAGCUAGAACACCAGUGGCGAAGGCGGCCAACUGGUCCGGUACUGACGCUGAGGUGCGAAAGCGUGGGGAGCAAACAGG
rnacentral:rRNA from 1 species